rnacentral:lncRNA from 1 species
UGUACGAUAGCCGAGAUAUGACAUUUUUGGCCUCAAAAACGGACGUCGAAAACGACUUUUUCAGGAUUUUCAAAGUGCUCUCAUUCCCUUAGUUCUGCUCGGAUCCUGUUAUAACCCGGUGUUUUCGUAAUCUAGGAGACCCAAAUAAGACGCUGGUAUACUUAGUGUGAUUUCGAAAAAAAUCAAUUUUUGGUGAAAAAAUUCGAUACGGGGGGGUAUACCCAAAAAAUGAAAAAUCCCAAACUUUGAAGGUCGAUAUCUCGGCUUCUAUGGGAGCUAUCGGGAAAAUUCCAACGGUUUUGUCUUAGUUUCGUCAUUGUGAAUCCAACGAGACCUUUCGCAAGGUCGUAGCUUGUAUGAUAGCUGAGAUAUGACAUUUUUGAUGCCCAUUUUUGGCCUCAAAAACGGACGUCGAAAACGACUUUUUCAGGAUUUUCAAAGUGCUCUCAUUCCCUUAGUUCUGCUCGGAUCCUGUUAUAACCCGGUGUUUUCGUAAUCUAGGAGACCCAAAUAAGACGCUGGUAUACUUAGUUUGAUUUCGAAAAAAAUCAAUUUUUGGUGAAAAAAUUCGAUACGGGGGGGUAUACCCAAAAAAUGAAAAAUCCCAAACUUUGAAGGUCGAUAUCUCGGCUUCUAUGGGAGCUAUCGGGAAAAUUCCAACGGUUUUGUCUUAGUUUCGUCAUUGUGAAUCCAACGAGACCUUUCGCAAGGUCGUAGCUUGUAUGAUAGCUGAGAUAUGACAUUUUUGAUGCCCAUUUUUGGCCUCAAAAACGGACGUCGAAAACGACUUUUUCAGGAUUUUCAAAGUGCUCUCAUUCCCUUAGUUCUGCUCGGAUCCUGUUAUAACCCGGUGUUUUCGUAAUCUAGGAGACCCAAAUAAGACGCUGGUAUACUUAGUUUGAUUUCGAAAAAAAUCAAUUUUUGGUGAAAAAAUUCGAUACGGGGGGGUAUACCCGAAAAAUGAAAAAUCCCAAACUUUGAAGGUCGAUAUCUCGGCUUCUAUGGGAGCUAUCGGGAAAAUUCCAACGGUUUUGUCUUAGUUUUGUCAUUGUGAAUCCAACGAGACCAUCCGCAAGGUCGUAGCUUGUACGAUAGCCGAGAUAUGACAUUUUUGAUGCCCAUUUUUGGCCUCAAAAACGGACGUCGAAAACGACUUUUUCAGGAUUUUCAAAGUGCUCUCAUUCCCUUAGUUCUGCUCGGAUCCUGUUAUAACGCGGUGUUUUCGUAAUCUAGGAGACCCAAAUAAGACGCUGGUAUACUUAGUUUGAUUUCGAAAAAAAUCAAUUUUUGGUGAAAAAAUUCGAUACGGGGGGGUAUACCCGAAACACGAAAAAACCCAAACUUUGAAGGUCGAUAUCUCGGCUUCUAUGGGAGCUAUCGGGAAAAUUCCAACGGUUUUGUCUUAGUUUCGUCAUUGUGAAUCCAACGAGACCUUUCGCAAGGUCGUAGCUUGUAUGAUAGCUGAGAUAUGACAUUUUUGAUGCCCAUUUUUGGCCUCAAAAACGGACGUCGAAAACGACUUUUUCAGGAUUUUCAAAGUGCUCUCAUUCCCUUAGUUCUGCUCGGAUCCUGUUAUAACCCGGUGUUUUCGUAAUCUAGGAGACCCAAAUAAGACGCUGGUAUAUUUAGUUUGAUUUCGAAAAAAAUCAAUUUUUGGUGAAAAAAUUCGAUACGGGGGGGUAUACCCGAAAAAUGAAAAAUCCCAAACUUUGAAGGUCGAUAUCUCGGCUUCUAUGGGAGCUAUCGGGAAAAUUCCAACGGUUUUGUCUUAGUUUCGUCAUUGUGAAUCCAACGAGACCAUCCGCAAGGUCGUAGCUUGUACGAUAGCCGAGAUAUGACAUUUUUGAUGCCCAUUUUUGGCCUCAAAAACGGACGUCGAAAACGACUUUUUCAGGAUUUUCAAAGUGCUCUCAUUCCCUUAGUUCUGCUCGGAUCCUGUUAUAACCCGGUGUUUUCGUAAUCUAGGAGACCCAAAUAAGACGCUGGUAUACUUAGUUUGAUUUCGAAAAAAAUCAAUUUUUGGUGAAAAAAUUCGAUACGGGGGGGUAUACCCGAAAAAUGAAAAAUCCCAAACUUUGAAGGUCGAUAUCUCGGCUUCUAUGGGAGCUAUCGGGAAAAUUCCAACGGUUUUGUCUUAGUUUUGUCAUUGUGAAUCCAACGAGACCAUCCGCAAGGUCGUAGCUUGUACGAUAGCCGAGAUAUGACAUUUUUGAUGCCCAUUUUUGGCCUCAAAAACGGACGUCGAAAACGACUUUUUCAGGAUUUUCAAAGUGCUCUCAUUCCCUUAGUUCUGCUCGGAUCCUGUUAUAACCCGGUGUUUUCGUAAUCUAGGAGACCCAAAUAAGACGCUGGUAUACUUAGUUUGAUUUCGAAAAAAAUCAAUUUUUGGUGAAAAAAUUCGAUACGGGGGGGUAUACCCGAAAAAUGAAAAAUCCCAAACUUUGAAGGUCGAUAUCUCGGCUUCUAUGGGAGCUAUCGGGAAAAUUCCAACGGUUUUGUCUUAGUUUUGUCAUUGUGAAUCCAACGAGACCAUCCGCAAGGUCGUAGCUUGUACGAUAGCCGAGAUAUGACAUUUUUGAUGCCCAUUUUUGGCCUCAAAAACGGACGUCGAAAACGACUUUUUCAGGAUUUUCAAAGUGCUCUCAUUCCCUUAGUUCUGCUCGGAUCCUGUUAUAACCCGGUGUUUUCGUAAUCUAGGAGACCCAAAUAAGACGCUGGUAUACUUAGUUUGAUUUCGAAAAAAAUCAAUUUUUGGUGAAAAAAUUCGAUACGGGGGGGUAUACCCGAAAAAUGAAAAAUCCCAAACUUUGAAGGUCGAUAUCUCGGCUUCUAUGGGAGCUAUCGGGAAAAUUCCAACGGUUUUGUCUUAGUUUCGUCAUUGUGAAUCCAACGAGACCAUCCGCAAGGUCGUAGCUUGUACGAUAGCCGAGAUAUGACAUUUUUGAUGCCCAUUUUUGGCCUCAAAAACGGACGUCGAAAACGACUUUUUCAGGAUUUUCAAAGUGCUCUCAUUCCCUUAGUUCUGCUCGGAUCCUGUUAUAACCCGGUGUUUUCGUAAUCUAGGAGACCCAAAUAAGACGCUGGUAUACUUAGUUUGAUUUCGAAAAAAAUCAAUUUUUGGUGAAAAAAUUCGAUACGGGGGGGUAUACCCGAAAAAUGAAAAAUCCCAAACUUUGAAGGUCGAUAUCUCGGCUUCUAUGGGAGCUAUCGGGAAAAUUCCAACGGUUUUGUCUUAGUUUCGUCAUUGUGAAUCCAACGAGACCAUCCGCAAGGUCGUAGCUUGUACGAUAGCCGAGAUAUGACAUUUUUGAUGCCCAUUUUUGGCCUCAAAAACGGACGUCGAAAACGACUUUUUCAGGAUUUUCAAAGUGCUCUCAUUCCCUUAGUUCUGCUCGGAUCCUGUUAUAACCCGGUGUUUUCGUAAUCUAGGAGACCCAAAUAAGACGCUGGUAUACUUAGUUUGAUUUCGAAAAAAAUCAAUUUUUGGUGAAAAAAUUCGAUACGGGGGGGUAUACCCGAAAAAUGAAAAAUCCCAAACUUUGAAGGUCGAUAUCUCGGCUUCUAUGGGAGCUAUCGGGAAAAUUCCAACGGUUUUGUCUUAGUUUCGUCAUUGUGAAUCCAACGAGACCAUCCGCAAGGUCGUAGCUUGUACGAUAGCCGAGAUAUGACAUUUUUGAUGCCCAUUUUUGGCCUCAAAAACGGACGUCGAAAACGACUUUUUCAGGAUUUUCAAAGUGCUCUCAUUCCCUUAGUUCUGCUCGGAUCCUGUUAUAACCCGGUGUUUUCGUAAUCUAGGAGACCCAAAUAAGACGCUGGUAUACUUAGUUUGAUUUCGAAAAAAAUCAAUUUUUGGUGAAAAAAUUCGAUACGGGAGGGUAUACCCGAAAAACGAAAAAACCCAAACUUUGAAGGUCGAUAUCUCGGCUUCUAUGGGAGCUAUCGGGAAAAUUCCAACGGUUUUGUCUUAGUUUCGUCAUUGUGAAUCCAACGAGACCAUCCGCAAGGUCGUAGCUUGUACGAUAGCCGAGAUAUGACAUUUUUGAUGCCCAUUUUUGGCCUCAAAAACGGACGUCGAAAACGACUUUUUCAGGAUUUUCAAAGUGCUCUCAUUCCCUUAGUUCUGCUCGGAUCCUGUUAUAACCCGGUGUUUUCGUAAUCUAGGAGACCCAAAUAAGACGCUGGUAUACUUAGUUUGAUUUCGAAAAAAAUCAAUUUUUGGUGAAAAAAUUCGAUACGGGGGGGUAUACCCGAAAAAUGAAAAAUCCCAAACUUUGAAGGUCGAUAUCUCGGCUUCUAUGGGAGCUAUCGGGAAAAUUCCAACGGUUUUGUCUUAGUUUCGUCAUUGUGAAUCCAACGAGACCAUCCGCAAGGUCGUAGCUUGUACGAUAGCCGAGAUAUGACAUUUUUGAUGCCCAUUUUUGGCCUCAAAAACGGACGUCGAAAACGACUUUUUCAGGAUUUUCAAAGUGCUCUCAUUCCCUUAGUUCUGCUCGGAUCCUGUUAUAACCUGGUGUUUUCGUAAUCUAGGAGACCCAAAUAAGACGCUGGUAUACUUAGUUUGAUUUCGAAAAAAAUCAAUUUUUGGUGAAAAAAUUCGAUACGGGGGGGUAUACCCGAAAAACGAAAAAACCCAAACUUUGAAGGUCGAUAUCUCGGCUUCUAUGGGAGCUAUCGGGAAAAUUCCAACAGUUUUGUCUUAGUUUCGUCAUUGUGAAUUCAACGAGACCAUCCGCAAGGUCGUAGCUUGUAUGAUAGCUGAGAUAUGACAUUUUUGAUGCCCAUUUUUGGCCUCAAAAACGGACGUCGAAAACGACUUUUUCAGGAUUUUCAAAGUGCUCUCAUUCCCUUAGUUCUGCUCGGAUCCUGUUAUAACGCGGUGUUUUCGUAAUCUAGGAGACCCAAAUAAGACGCUGGUAUACUUAGUUUGAUUUCGAAAAAAAUCAAUUUUUGGUGAAAAAAUUCGAUACGGGGGGGUAUACCCGAAAAAUGAAAAAUCCCAAACUUUGAAGGUCGAUAUCUCGGCUUCUAUGGGAGCUAUCGGGAAAAUUCCAACGGUUUUGUCUUAGUUUCGUCAUUGUGAAUCCAACGAGAGCAUCCGCAAGGUCGUAGCUUGUACGAUAGCCGAGAUAUGACAUUUUUGAUGCCCAUUUUUGGCCUCAAAAACGGACGUCGAAAACGACUUUUUCAGGAUUUUCAAAGUGCUCUCAUUCCCUUAGUUCUGCUCGGAUCCUGUUAUAACCCGGUGUUUUCGUAAUCUAGGAGACCCAAAUAAGACGCUGGUAUACUUAGUUUGAUUUCGAAAAAAAUCAAUUUUUGGUGAAAAAAUUCGAUACGGGGGGGUAUACCCGAAAAACGAAAAAACCCAAACUUUGAAGGUCGAUAUCUCGGCUUCUAUGGGAGCUAUCGGGAAAAUUCCAACGGUUUUGUCUUAGUUUCGUCAUUGUGAAUCCAACGAGACCAUCCGCAAGGUCGUAGCUUGUAUGAUAGCUGAGAUAUGACAUUUUUGAUGCCCAUUUUUGGCCUCAAAAACGGACGUCGAAAACGACUUUUUCAGGAUUUUCAAAGUGCUCUCAUUCCCUUAGUUCUGCUCGGAUCCUGUUAUAACCCGGUGUUUUCGUAAUCUAGGAGACCCAAAUAAGACGCUGGUAUACUUAGUGUGAUUUCGAAAAAAAUCAAUUUUUGGUGAAAAAAUUCGAUACGGGGGGGUAUACCCAAAAAAUGAAAAAUCCCAAACUUUGAAGGUCGAUAUCUCGGCUUCUAUGGGAGCUAUCGGGAAAAUUCCAACGGUUUUGUCUUAGUUUCGUCAUUGUGAAUCCAACGAGACCUUUCGCAAGGUCGUAGCUUGUAUGAUAGCUGAGAUAUGACAUUUUUGAUGCCCAUUUUUGGCCUCAAAAACGGACGUCGAAAACGACUUUUUCAGGAUUUUCAAAGUGCUCUCAUUCCCUUAGUUCUGCUCGGAUCCUGUUAUAACCCGGUGUUUUCGUAAUCUAGGAGACCCAAAUAAGACGCUGGUAUACUAAGUUUGAUUUCGAAAAAAAUCAAUUUUUGGUGAAAAAAUUCGAUACGGGGGGGUAUACCCGAAAAACGAAAAAACCCAAACUUUGAAGGUCGAUAUCUCGGCUUCUAUGGGAGCUAUCGGGAAAAUUCCAACGGUUUUGUCUUAGUUUCGUCAUUGUGAAUCCAACGAGACCAUCCGCAAGGUCGUAGCUUGUACGAUAGCCGAGAUAUGACAUUUUUGAUGCCCAUUUUUGGCCUCAAAAACGGACGUCGAAAACGACUUUUUCAGGAUUUUCAAAGUGCUCUCAUUCCCUUAGUUCUGCUCGGAUCCUGUUAUAACCCGGUGUUUUCGUAAUCUAGGAGACCCAAAUAAGACGCUGGUAUACUUAGUUUGAUUUCGAAAAAAAUCAAUUUUUGGUGAAAAAAUUCGAUACGGGGGGGUAUACCCGAAAAACGAAAAAACCCAAACUUUGAAGGUCGAUAUCUCGGCUUCUAUGGGAGCUAUCGGGAAAAUUCCAACAGUUUUGUCUUAGUUUCGUCAUUGUGAAUUCAACGAGACCAUCCGCAAGGUCGUAGCUUGUACGAUAGCCGAGAUAUGACAUUUUUGAUGCCCAUUUUUGGCCUCAAAAACGGACGUCGAAAACGACUUUUUCAGGAUUUUCAAAGUGCUCUCAUUCCCUUAGUUCUGCUCGGAUCCUGUUAUAACCCGGUGUUUUCGUAAUCUAGGAGACCCAAAUAAGACGCUGGUAUACUUAGUUUGAUUUCGAAAAAAAUCAAUUUUUGGUGAAAAAAUUCGAUACGGGGGGGUAUACCCGAAAAAUGAAAAAUCCCAAACUUUGAAGGUCGAUAUCUCGGCUUCUAUGGGAGCUAUCGGGAAAAUUCCAACGGUUUUGUCUUAGUUUCGUCAUUGUGAAUCCAACGAGACCAUCCGCAAGGUCGUAGCUUGUACGAUAGCCGAGAUAUGACAUUUUUGAUGCCCAUUUUUGGCCUCAAAAACGGACGUCGAAAACGACUUUUUCAGGAUUUUCAAAGUGCUCUCAUUCCCUUAGUUCUGCUCGGAUCCUGUUAUAACCCGGUGUUUUCGUAAUCUAGGAGACCCAAAUAAGACGCUGGUAUACUUAGUUUGAUUUCGAAAAAAAUCAAUUUUUGGUGAAAAAAUUCGAUACGGGGGGGUAUACCCGAAAAACGAAAAAACCCAAACUUUGAAGGUCGAUAUCUCGGCUUCUAUGGGAGCUAUCGGGAAAAUUUCAACGGUUUUGUCUUAGUUCGUCAUUGUGAAUCCAACGAGACCAUCCGCAAGGUCGUAGCUUGUACGAUAGCCGAGAUAUGACAUUUUUGAUGCCCAUUUUUGGCCUCAAAAACGGACGUCGAAAACGACUUUUUCAGGAUUUUCAAAGUGCUCUCAUUCCCUUAGUUCUGCUCGGAUCCUGUUAUAACCCGGUGUUUUCGUAAUCUAGGAGACCCAAAUAAGACGCUGGUAUACUUAGUUUGAUUUCGAAAAAAAUCAAUUUUUGGUGAAAAAAUUCGAUACGGGGGGGUAUACCCGAAAAACGAAAAAACCCAAACUUUGAAGGUCGAUAUCUCGGCUUCUAUGGGAGCUAUCGGGAAAAUUCCAACGGUUUUGUCUUAGUUUCGUCAUUGUGAAUCCAACGAGACCUUUCGCAAGGUCGUAGCUUGUAUGAUAGCUGAGAUAUGACAUUUUUGAUGCCCAUUUUUGGCCUCAAAAACGGACGUCGAAAACGACUUUUUCAGGAUUUUCAAAGUGCUCUCAUUCCCUUAGUUCUGCUCGGAUCCUGUUAUAACCCGGUGUUUUCGUAAUCUAGGAGACCCAAAUAAGACGCUGGUAUAUUUAGUUUGAUUUCGAAAAAAAUCAAUUUUUGGUGAAAAAAUUCGAUACGGGGGGGUAUACCCGAAAAAUGAAAAAUCCCAAACUUUGAAGGUCGAUAUCUCGGCUUCUAUGGGAGCUAUCGGGAAAAUUCCAACGGUUUUGUCUUAGUUUCGUCAUUGUGAAUCCAACGAGACCAUCCGCAAGGUCGUAGCUUGUAUGAUAGCUGAGAUAUGACAUUUUUGAUGCCCAUUUUUGGCCUCAAAAACGGACGUCGAAAACGACUUUUUCAGGAUUUUCAAAGUGCUCUCAUUCCCUUAGUUCUGCUCGGAUCCUGUUAUAACCCGGUGUUUUCGUAAUCUAGGAGACCCAAAUAAGACGCUGGUAUACUUAGUUUGAUUUCGAAAAAAAUCAAUUUUUGGUGAAAAAAUUCGAUACGGGGGGGUAUACCCGAAAAACGAAAAAACCCAAACUUUGAAGGUCGAUAUCUCGGCUUCUAUGGGAGCUAUCGGGAAAAUUCCAACGGUUUUGUCUUAGUUUCGUCAUUGUGAAUCCAACGAGACCAUCCGCAAGGUCGUAGCUUGUAUGAUAGCUGAGAUAUGACAUUUUUGAUGCCCAUUUUUGGCCUCAAAAACGGACGUCGAAAACGACUUUUUCAGGAUUUUCAAAGUGCUCUCAUUCCCUUAGUUCUGCUCGGAUCCUGUUAUAACCCGGUGUUUUCGUAAUCUAGGAGACCCAAAUAAGACGCUGGUAUACUUAGUUUGAUUUCGAAAAAAAUCAAUUUUUGGUGAAAAAAUUCGAUACGGGGGGGUAUACCCGAAAAAUGAAAAAUCCCAAACUUUGAAGGUCGAUAUCUCGGCUUCUAUGGGAGCUAUCGGGAAAAUUCCAACGGUUUUGUCUUAGUUUCGUCAUUGUGAAUCCAACGAGACCAUCCGCAAGGUCGUAGCUUGUAUGAUAGCUGAGAUAUGACAUUUUUGAUGCCCAUUUUUGGCCUCAAAAACGGACGUCGAAAACGACUUUUUCAGGAUUUUCAAAGUGCUCUCAUUCCCUUAGUUCUGCUCGGAUCCUGUUAUAACCCGGUGUUUUCGUAAUCUAGGAGACCCAAAUAAGACGCUGGUAUACUUAGUUUGAUUUCGAAAAAAAUCAAUUUUUGGUGAAAAAAUUCGAUACGGGGGGGUAUACCCGAAAAAUGAAAAAUCCCAAACUUUGAAGGUCGAUAUCUCGGCUUCUAUGGGAGCUAUCGGGAAAAUUCCAACGGUUUUGUCUUAGUUUCGUCAUUGUGAAUCCAACGAGUUCAUCCGCAAGGUCGUAGCUUGUACGAUAGCCGAGAUAUGACAUUUUUGAUGCCCAUUUUUGGCCUCAAAAACGGACGUCGAAAACGACUUUUUCAGGAUUUUCAAAGUGCUCUCAUUCCCUUAGUUCUGCUCGGAUCCUGUUAUAACCCGGUGUUUUCGUAAUCUAGGAGACCCAAAUAAGACGCUGGUAUACUUAGUUUGAUUUCGAAAAAAAUCAAUUUUUGGUGAAAAAAUUCGAUACGGGGGGGUAUACCCGAAAAACGAAAAAACCCAAACUUUGAAGGUCGAUAUCUCGGCUUCUAUGGGAGCUAUCGGGAAAAUUCCAACGGUUUUGUCUUAGUUUCGUCAUUGUGAAUCCAACGAGACCAUCCGCAAGGUCGUAGCUUGUACGAUAGCCGAGAUAUGACAUUUUUGAUGCCCAUUUUUGGCCUCAAAAACGGACGUCGAAAACGACUUUUUCAGGAUUUUCAAAGUGCUCUCAUUCCCUUAGUUCUGCUCGGAUCCUGUUAUAACCCGGUGUUUUCGUAAUCUAGGAGACCCAAAUAAGACGCUGGUAUACUUAGUUUGAUUUCGAAAAAAAUCAAUUUUUGGUGAAAAAAUUCGAUACGGGGGGGUAUAC